rnacentral:hammerhead_ribozyme from 1 species
AUCCAGUUGACGAGUUCAAAAUAGAACAAAACACGCGUCCUGGAU